AGCCGGGCACGCGACUGGCGAUAGGCGCGCCUGACUCCUUAGGUCGGGUGGCGCUGACGUGGACAGACCACCGGGAAGCGUGCCACGGGAUAGGCGGCAAGCCUCGUCCGGUGUUCAGCCGUUCGCCUGGGCAGCCCCC
rnacentral:ncRNA from 2 species